rnacentral:rRNA from 1 species
UGGGGAAUAUUGGACAAUGGGGGAAACCCUGAUCCAGCAAUGCCGCGUGAGUGAAGAAGGCCUUAGGGUUGUAAAGCUCUUUCAGUAGGGACGCGGUACCUACAGAAGAAGCCCCGGCUAACUCCGUGCCAGCAGCCGCGGUAAGACGGAGGGGGCUAGCGUUGUUCGGAAUUACUGGGCGUAAAGGGCGCGUAGGCGGCCGAUCAAGUUAGGCGUGAAAUCCCUGGGCUUAACCCAGGAACUGCGUUUAAUACUGAUUGGCUAGAGAUUGGUAGAGGAAAGUGGAAUUCCUAGUGUAGAGGUGAAAUUCGUAGAUAUUAGGAAGAACACCAGAGGCGAAGGCGACUUUCUGGGCCAAUACUGACGCUGAGGCGCGAAAGCGGGGGAGCAAACAGGAUUAGAUACCCUAGUAGU